CCUACGGGAGGCAGCAGUGGGGAAUAGUGCACAAUGGGGGAAACCAUGAUGCAGCGAAGCAGCGGGAGGGAAGAAGGAUUUCGGUAUGUAAAGCUCUAUCAGCAGGGAAGAAAAUGACGGUACCUGAUUAAGAAGCCCCGGCUAACUACGUGACAGCAGACGCGGUAAUACGUAGGGGGCAAGCGUUAUCCGGAUUUACUGGGUGUAAAGGGAGCGUAGACGGCAGAACAAGUCUGGAGUGAAAUGCCGGGGCUUAACCCCGGAACUGCUUUGGAAACUGUGCAGCUAGAGAGCAGGAGAGGUAAGUGGAAUGCCUGGUGUAGCGGUGAAAUGCGUAGAUAUUAGGAGGAACACCAUUGGCGAAGGCGGCUUACUGGACUGUAACUGACGUUGAGGCUCGAAAGCGUGGGGAGCAAACAGGAUUAGAUACCCCGGUAGUC
rnacentral:rRNA from 1 species